UACGUAGGGGGCUAGCGUUGUCCGGAUUUAUUGGGCGUAAAGAGCUCGUAGGCGGUUCGGCAAGUCAGCUGUGAAAUCUCCACGCUCAACGUGGAGGGGUCAGCUGAUACUGCUGUGACUUGAGUCCGGUAGGGGAGUGUGGAAUUCCCGGUGUAGCGGUGAAAUGCGCAGAUAUCGGGAGGAACACCAGUAGCGAAGGCGGCACUCUGGGCCGGUACUGACGCUGAGGAGCGAAAGCGUGGGGAGCAAACGGG
rnacentral:rRNA from 1 species